rnacentral:lncRNA from 1 species
UGGGUUUGUCAUAACAGUCCGAUUAGAACCCUAGAAGCAACCUCUCAUCAUCUCUCGACAGACAAUCCUCCAUUUACUCUCUCACCUCCAAUUUUACCCUUUUCAGCAUACUCCAUCAUCUCUCGGCAGACUAUCUUCAACAUUGAUCAAGCACUGAAAGGAUCCCACCUCCGUUUCGUUCAUAAUAGCCGACGAUCAAGCACCUAAAGGAUUCAUUCUAUCUUCGCGAGAAUGUCUGGCAUCAGCGG